rnacentral:misc_RNA from 1 species
UCCUUGUCGACUCUAUAUAAGCGAGAGUAGCUUGAAAACUUUAACUGCGUGAUGUAGGAUCACGAUUUUUUUCCAUUAAUCCCUAGCUUCAUGUUUAUACUUAUAUGGAUACUUAUUUUCAUAUUUAACGUUACUUUAAGUCGCUAGUUAAUUACGGUAAUAGAUCUUAGGUAAAAUUUGACUAAAAAAUAAAAAAGCUUUAUCGUCUAAAUUCUGAACAACGUUCAACAAAAAGACAUGUCAAGACAUUACGUUUGACUAGCAAGAUAAGAGACAAUACACAAUAUAUUUUGUAAAGUAUCAAAGAUAAAA